UUCGAGUGGCGGACGGGUGAGUAACGCGUGGGUAACCUGCCUUACACAGGGGGAUAACACCUGGAAACAGGUGCUAAUACCGCAUAAGCGCACAGGGCCGCAUGGCCCGGUGUGAAAAACUCCGGUGGUGUAAGAUGGACCCGCGUCUGAUUAGCUUGUUGGCGGGGUGGAGGCCCACCAAGGCGACGAUCAGUAGCCGGCCUGAGAGGGUGGACGGCCACAUUGGGACUGAGACACGGCCCAAACUCCUACGGGAGGCAGCAG
rnacentral:rRNA from 1 species